rnacentral:rRNA from 1 species
UACGUAGGGUGCGAGCGUUAAUCGGAAUUACUGGGCGUAAAGCGUGCGCAGGCGGCGCGUUAAGACAGGUGUGAAAGCCCCGAGCUUAACUUGGGAAUUGCGCUUGUGACUGGCGUGCUGGAGUGUGGCAGAGGGAGGUGGAAUUCCACGUGUAGCAGUGAAAUGCGUAGAAGAUGUGGAGGAACACCGAUGGCGGAAGGCAGCCCUCCUGGGCCAGCACU